UUUCACUUCCCCUUCCUCCUGUUCGAGCGGUGGGGUGCCCUCGUUUCUGACCUCUCGGUGAGCGCCUGCUCGAAACAUCUCGUAGAUAUGCUAUGGUACACAUGGGUGGGAAAAGAUGUCGCGAUUUAGUUGCAUCUAUAAAUUCCGGAUAUGAUAGUGAUGUUGAUUUCAUCCCUUUCAACGAUCCGCUGAGCGACUCUGACGAGGUUGAGAACAAUGAUUCUGAUGAUGCUCACUCGAGCAAUUCUGAUGACAUCUGCUUUACCGAUGUUGAUUCGCUGAAGAAAGCUUUGUUAAAAAAGUGUAACAGAAAUUACAAGAAGAAGAUCAAAGAUUAAAAAAUGAAUUUUAAGAUGCGCCGCAUCAAUGAGGUGAAGAAGCCUUCUCAUGCGAAACCAAGUGAUACAUUCACUCGUUUCUCAGUAACAACAUUUUCCAAAGUAAUAUCUGCUUUAACUCCAUAAAAGAGAAAAGUUAUUGAGGAUUAUGGUUUUGGAUCACUCCUUUCAUUUACAAAGUGCUAUGUGUCCAAUAAUUUUGCGCAAUGGAUUGCUCACAAUGUUGUUCAUAAAUCUGGUGAUAUUAUUAUUGAUGGCAAGAUAAUUUCCCUCAUCAAAGAAUCUAUCCAUUGUGUUUUUGGUCUCACUUUCGGCGGCGCGUCAUUCCCUGCUGAUAGUAGUGCUGGUAAAUCUUUUAUUCUAGAGAUGUUCCACGAGCAGUGCAUCUUUUCUGUUACUUUCUUUGCUAAUAAAAUCACUAAUACAGAAGUUUUAUCAAAUGAAGAAUCUUUCACUUGCUUCAUCCUAGUUGCUCUGAAUAGCUUCUUAUGCCCCAACUCAUCUUUGGUUCCAAGCUACAAAUAUUUUGAUGUUUUUCCUAAUGUCCGAAAUGCAAAGUCUUUUGAUUGGUGUGGAUAUAUUUUGGAUUGGCUCCUUUAGUCCAUCAAAAGUUUGAAUAAAGCUAAAUGUGCAAAAGAGACAGAUCCUAGAACCUAUGGUGGAUGCCUAUAUUAUCUUGCUGUAAGUAGUUCUAUUUUUGUCUCAACUGUAAGUUGUAGUAUUUUUAUUUUUCUAAUAUUUUAUUGCUCUAUUUUAAAUUUUUAUAAGUUCUAUACCUGGACCAUGUUGAUUUUGGUCCUCGUCGUGUCCCUGACUCCCUCCCUCAGAUAUCCGUGCGGAAAAAGAACAUGAUCAAAAUUUAUUGCGAUCUUGACCUCAAAUUCCAAGAAAAAAUCACCAAUAAGAAAGAAUGCCCUCCCAGUCAAAAGCUUUAUUCAAAUACGAAGAACUCCUGCACAUACAGCCCAAAAGAAUAUGUAGCCCCCGCAUCCGGUGCUGAUCACACCCCCUACCCCUGUUGAACAUCCGUCUCAAAUGGCCCUCCUAAAUGCAAUCAGAUCCUCGAGGUCCCAAUGAUGCUUUCUUGUCUUAUCAAGAUCUUGUUAAUGAUAAUUUUAUUCCAUCUUCUUCUAAAAUAUUGAUAAUUUUAUUCCAUCUUCUUCUAAAACGCCCUCCAACUUGAGUUCUGGGAUGAUCAACCAAGCUCAAGGUGAUAAAAUAAUGGACAAGUUGACUAGAGAAAGGAUCACCUGAGGUUCAAUUUGUUGGACAAAAAUCACUUUCCCAGAGUGUUAGUGAAAUGACAAAAAAAUCUGAUGAAUUAUACAAAAAGAAACUUAAUAUCAGUGAUUUUUCUGCUCCUAAAAAUAUUGGCUCUCUAAUCCCUGGUGCUUCUGGGUAUCACCCAUCUUUCCUAUCUUCAACUGAUAGAUCCAAAAAUCCCUACAAAGCUUAAGAAUUCUCUACUGGUGGGAAAUUACCACUUCAUGGACCCAGGAGGGCAGUGUUACCUGGCUCUUUGUUUCAUGGUGAUUAUGUUGUCCCAAAGAACAAGAUUUCUGUAUGUCAAUCUGAAAUAAAAAAUUAUAAUGCUAUUUGUCAUUUGGCUGAUUCCCAAUAUAUGAGGAUGCUGGUAGCAUUGGGAAAGUUCGCUGCACAUUCUGAUCUCUUGGAGAGUCUUUGAAGGCAGACGGUUUUGUAAAUUCAUUUGUCAUCUCUGCUUUCUCCUAUAGUCUAUUUAUUAAGCUAAAUAGCCGUCUAGAGAAAUCUAAAUGCCACUUCUUCUUCUCAAAUAUUGUUGAAAAUUUGCUAAAGGAUCCAGACAAAUCAAACACUGAAGUUUUGUCUCGUGCUUUCAAAAGAUUAAAUGAGCUCAGUCCCUAAAUUUGUCCAACAAUUUGUAUUUCCCAACCUUAUUCAACAAGCACUGGUUCCUUUUUGUUGUUGAUAUCAAAGGCUGCAAGUUUGUCUUUCUGGACCCUUUUCAUCAAAAAGAUCAUGAGUAUCAAAAGUUUGUCAGAGAUAGAUUGAUCCCAUCUUUCCAGUUUCACUGGGACAGAUAUAUUCAAGUUGAUAUGAACUUUUAUGACUUGUUGUACCCAAACGUACCCAACCAACCCUCCAAUAACAGCGUUGACUCUGAAAUCUACACCAUGAUGUUUCUUGAGCAUUGGAAAUCUUCAAGGACAGUCCUGCAUACUAGUAAGAUGAUGCAGCAAGAUCUUUAGAGUAUGUUCUGGGGUUGAGGAGAGGAAGCAACAAGUCUUUCAACUUUCAAGCACCACGAUUCUCUACGAACGGACCAAUGAUCAUGCCUGCGCCAUGCUCGUCACGCGCCGUCCUCCACGGCGCCGCCGUCCGUCUCCAUCCAGAUGAUGCAGCGGAGGCACUUCCCCUGCGCGAGCAGGUCGAGCCCGCGGUUGAUCUCGUCGAAGCCCAUCUGGUGCGUGAUGAACUCGUCCAGCUCCAGCUCCUGGCGCAGAAAAGCGACAUAGAUAGAAGGGGAAGAUCAAAUCAAAUCAUGGCAUGAACACACUGCUUGCUUCCGACGUCAGCACAUUAUACACCGUGGUUGAAGAAGACUUUGAGGUGGUGGCUGGUCACCUUGUCGAGGCACUUCCGUGCCAGCACGGGGAUGUCGUCCUUGGGCUUGAUCCCGCCGAGGUAGGAGCCGACGACCGACCGGCCCCUCAUGAUGUCCAACGACGGAAUGCUGAUGGGCGCCGCGCUGCCGUCCACGCCUAAGACCACCGUCUUCCCCCAGCCCUGGACGAUACCGAAAGGAGGAGCCAUGGAGAUCGAUCAGUUGGUCACUUGCACUGGCCCUGCACAAGAUUCACCUACGGCUGCUAGCGGCAGAUCGACCAGCGUGCGUGACUGCGUACCAUCCGGGAGCUCCUGAAGGCCUCCGCCAUGACUGAAACCGAGCCGAUGCACUCGAAGCAGUAGUCGGCGCCUGCGCCGCCAGUCAUCUCCUUGAUGACCUGCGUGCAUGUAGAUCAGUUGGUUUGUUGAAUUGCUGCUCGUAUCUCUAAUGCAGAGGUUCGUUAAUGGUACUUCA